UGCGAUAGCCACCUUAUUGUCACAAUAAACAUUCAUACAUUCAUUUUGUUGAACACCAAGUUCUUUUAAUAAUAACUUUAACCACAUUAUUUCACAAAUUCUAUGGGCCAACGCCCUAAAUUCAGCUUCAGCACUGCUUCUUGUUACAAUUGGUUGUUUCUUACUUCUUCAGGUGACCAAAUUUUCCCAAACAAAGGUACAAUAACCUGUUGUAGAUCUUCUGUCCAUUACUGACCCUACCCAAUCAGCAUCUGUGAAAGUUUCAAUCGAUCUUCCAGGAUUUCUCUUGAAGAAAAGUCCAAGUCACGGAGUCCCUUUAAGAUACCUCAAGAUUUGGUAGACAGGCUCCAUAUGCUCCUUAAAUGGAGCAUGCAUAAAUUGGCUUACAAUGCUAACAGCAAAAGCAAUGUCAGGCCUAGUGUGUGACAGGUAGAUUAGCUUUCCUACCAGGCGUUGAUAUCUCUCCCUAUCAACUGGUGUACUUCUUGAACAGUCCCCCAGUUUAUGAUUUGGAUUUAUAGGAACAUCUGCUGGUUUACUCCCUAACAUACCCAUUUCCUUUAGGAGAUCCAAGACAUAUUUUCUCCACUAAUAGAAAUCCCACUCUUAUUCUUUGCAACCUCAAGGCCAAGAAAGUAUCGUAGAUGGCCCAAGUCUUUCAUUUCGAACUCGGCAAAAAUAGCUUUCUUCAGUCUCUCUAUUUCUUCAUAGUUAUUGCCUUUCAAAACUAUAUCAUCCACAUAUACAAUCAGAAAAAUAAUUUUUUUCUUCCGAGUUCUUAUAGAACAAAGUAUGAUCAGAUUGUGCUUGCUUAUACCCUUGCUAACACACAGCCUUCAUAAAUCUUUCAACUAGGCUCGUGGGAAUUGCU
rnacentral:lncRNA from 1 species